rnacentral:rRNA from 1 species
UCGCUCCUACCGAUUGAAUGAUCCGGUGAAAUCUUUGGACCAGAGCCUGCGGGAGGCAACUCACUGUAGGCUUUGGGAAGUUGAUUAAACCUUAUCAUUUAGAGGAAGGAG